rnacentral:lncRNA from 1 species
GUGAAACAAUGAAGACUCCAUAGUUUCUGGCAACACUGUGAGAAGUCUGGUGGCUCUGUUCUGCCAGGUAUGGAAGUGUCCUUUCUGAAGAGACUCGGCUUCUUUCAUAGCUUGAGAACAUGAUGUGAUUGAAGAGAUGACUACAGCAUCCAUUCCAAACUCUGACUUUCUGCAAGCUCCAUUCAGGAAAUUCUUCAGAGAGAACAGGCAGAUUCAGACCUUCCUGCGAACAUGUAAAGAACGACUGAGAUUGAUGUUCUGUAAGCAAGAAAAAAAUAAACUUCUCAAGGAA